GGAUGUGAGGGCGAUCUGGUUCCAACACCUGUCAUUCCAUUGAUUAUCAGGGUCGAUUUGGCUGAUCUGGCUGGCUAGGCAGGUGUCCCCUUCCUGCCUCACCAUUCCAUGUGUGUUCCUCCCAAGCUGUGCACUGGGUUGAAGAGGAGGAUCUUCUCCAAUAUAGGAGGAUAAUUCUUUGGUCAAGGAUAUACGAGUAGCUGCACUUUCCUACUGGAACCACCGAACAAGCUCUGUAAAAGUCUAUUUGUAGAAGAACAUAAGGCAGUCAAGCUUCCGAAUUCCAGACCCAUCCAAAUGAGGCACUGCCUAUGGCAAUUUGUCUUUCUUU
rfam:Equus caballus chromosome 3, whole genome shotgun sequence.